rnacentral:rRNA from 1 species
UACGUAGGGGGCAAGCGUUAUCCGGAUUUACUGGGUGUAAAGGGGGCGCAGACGGCGAUGCAAGCCAGGAGUGAAAGCCCGGGGCCCAACCCCGGGACUGCUCUUGGAACUGCGUGGCUGGAGUACAGGAGGGGCAGGCGGAAUUCCUGGUGUAGCGGUGAAAUGCGUAGAUAUCAGGAGGAACACCAGUGGCGAAGGCGGCCUGCUGGACUGCAACUGACGUUGAGGCCCGAAAGCGUGGGGAGCAAACAGG